GGGCGCCUGAGGGACACGCGCUUUGGAGCGUGGGUUUGCGUUUGCGUGUCCGUUGGGAUGAGGGGCUGUGAGCGGUGCUGAGCUGGUUUAGUUACUCGUCCCUGGAAGUCUCCUGAGCAGAGGAUAUCAGCUUCUCCAGGAGCUCUAGGCAGUGAGAAGAAGAUGAGAAUUACGGGAGUGGCUGCCUUCAUUGGAUUUUGGCGUAUGCUUCUUCCGCAAUGAAUGCAAGUGUUGGGAAGGAAAAAAAAAGAUAGCCGAUUUGCAAAGAGUGACAUAUGCAACAAGAAAAUACAAAACAAAAACCCCACAUGAUACGAGAAGGAGCUUACAACGUGAGAUCUCAAAACUUAAAAAAAUGAUUCUGAAUUAUUGAAACUUCAAUCAAGCCCUAAUGUAAUACUUGACCUUACAAUGGGCCAGAAAAAAACCCAGAUCAGAGCACUGCCA
rnacentral:lncRNA from 1 species